CCCAAGGUCGGUGUAGUGGUUAACACUUUUGUUAUAUAAGUGAGAGAUCCUGGGUUCAAUCCCCAGUCUGGCUA